UCCCUACGGGGGGCAGCAGUGGGGAAUAUUGCACAAUGGGGGGAACCCUGAUGCAGCGACGCCGCGUGAGUGAAGAAGUAUUUCGGUAUGUAAAGCUCUAUCAGUAGGGAAGAAAAUGACGGUACCUGACUAAGAAGCCCCGGCUAACUACGUGCCAGCAGCCGCGGUAAUACGUAGGGGGCAAGCGUUAUCCGGAUUUACUGGGCGUAAAGGGAGCGUAGACGGCAGAGCAAGUCUGAAGUGAAAGCCCGCGGCCCAACUGCGGGACUGCUUUGGAAACUGUUAAGCUGGAGUGCAGGAGAGGG
rnacentral:rRNA from 1 species